AUUGAACGCUGGCGGCAGGCUUAACACAUGCAAGUCGAGCGAUGAAGGUACUGCUUGCAGUACUGGAUUAGCGGCGGACGGGUGAGUAACACUUAGGAAUCUACUAGUAAUGGGGGAUAGCCCGGAGAAAUCCGGAUUAAUACCGCAUACGACCUACGGGUGAAAGGGGGCACUUGUGCUCUCGUUAUUAGAUGAGCCUAAGCUGGAUUAGCUAGAUGGUGGGGUAAGAGCCUACCAUGGCGACGAUCUAUAGCUGGUCUGAGAGGAUGAUCAGCCACACUGGGACUGAGACACGGCCCAGACUCCUACGGGAGGCAGCAGUGGGGAAUAUUGGACAAUGGGGGCAACUCUGAUCCAGCCAUGCCGCGUGUGUGAAGAAGGCCUUUUGGUUGUAAAGCACUUUAAGCAGUGAGGAAAAGCUAUAUGUUAAUACCAUAUAGUCCUGACGUUAACUGCAGAAUAAGCACCGGCUAACUCUGUGCCAGCAGCCGCGGUAAUACAGAGGGUGCGAGCGUUAAUCGGAAUUACUGGGCGUAAAGCGAGCGUAGGUGGUCUAAUAAGUCAGAUGUGAAAUCCCCGGGCUUAACCUGGGAACUGCAUCUGAAACUGUUAAACUAGAGUAGGUGAGAGGAGAGUAGAAUUCCAGGUGUAGCGGUGAAAUGCGUAGAGAUCUGGAGGAAUACCGAUGGCGAAGGCAGCUCUCUGGCAUCAUACUGACACUGAGGUUCGAAAGCGUGGGUAGCAAACAGG
rnacentral:rRNA from 1 species